UUUUAUACAACCGCAAAAAAAUUUUGUGGUCGUAUAUUGGUAUGACGUUGGCGUCGUCGUCGUCGUCGUCCGGCGUCGUCGUCAUCCGAAGACACAUUGAUUUUCGCACUCUAACUUUAGUUUAAGUGAAUGGAUCUCUAUGAAAUUUUACCAUAAGGUUCAAUAGCACAAAAGGAAGGUGGGGAUUGAUUUUGGGGGUUAUGGUACCAACAGUUGAGGAAUUAGGGGCCAAAAAUAAGCAUUUUUGUAACUUCCAGACAUAACUUGUGUGUAAGUGUAUGGAUCUCUCUGACAUUGUAUCACAAGGUUCCAUAUCACAAAGGGAAUGCUGGGAUUGAUUUUGGGGGUAAUUGCCUCCAAAUUUUAGGAAUUAGGGGCAAAAAACAAGCAUUUUUCUAGUUUCAUGACAAUAACUUGUGUGUAAGUGUAUGGAUCUUUAUGAAAUUGUACUACAAGGUUCCAUAUCAAAAAGGGAAUGCUGGGAUUGAUUUUGGGGGUAAUAGCCUCAAAAUUUAAGAAUUAGGGGCCAAAAAAGGGGCAAAAAACAAGCAUUUUUCUAGUUUCAUGACAAUAACUUGUGUUCAAAGUGUAUGGAUCUCUCUGAAAUUGUACUGUAAGGUACCAUACCACAACGGGAAGGCUGGGAUUGAUUUUGGGGGUAAUUGCCUCAAAAUUUUAGGAAUUAGGGGCCAAAAAGGGGCAAAAAUCAAGCAUUUUUCUUGUUUCAGGACAAUAACUUGUGUGUAAGUGUAUGGAUCUUUAUGAAAUUGUACUACAAGGUUCCAUAUCACAAAGGGAAUGCUGGGAUUGAUUUUGGGGGUAAUUGCCUUCAAAUUUUAGGAAUUUGGGGCCAAAAAACAAGCAUUUUUCUAGUUUCAUGACAAUAACUUGUUUGUAAGUGUAUGGAUCUCUCUGACAUUGUACCACAAGGUUCCAUAUCACAAAGGGAAGGCUGGGAUUGAUUUUGGGGGUAAUUGCCUCCAAAUUUUGGGAAUUAGGGGCCAAAAAAGGGGCAUAAAAACAAGCAUUUUUUCUAGUUUCAGGACAAUAACUUGUGUGUAAGUGUAUGGAUCUUUAUGAAAUUGUACUGCAAGGUUCCAUAUCACAAAGGGAAAGCUAGGUUUGAGUUUGGGGGUAAUUGCCCUAAACGUUUAGGAAUUUGGGGCCAAAAAGGGGCCAAAAAACAAGCAUUUUUCUAGUUUCCAGACAAUAACUUGUGUUCAUGUGUACGGAUCUCUCUGAAAUUGUACUGCAAGGUACCAUACCACAAAUGGAAGGCUGGGAUUGAGUUUCGGGGUAAUUCCCUCAAAAUUUUAGGAAUUAGGGGCCAUAAAGGAACAAAAAAACAAGCAUUUUUCUAGUUUCCAGACAAUAACUUGUGUUCAAGUGUACGGAUCUCUCUGAAAUUGUACUGCAAGGUACCAUACCACAAAGGGAAGGCUGGGAUUGAUUUUGGGGGUAAUUCCCUCAAAAUUUUAGGAAUUAGGGGCCAUAAAGGAACAAAAAAACAAGCAUUUUUCUAGUUUCAGGACAAUAACUUGUGUGUAAUCGAUGGAUCUUUAUGAAAUUGUACUGCAAGGUUCCAUAUCACAAAGGGAAAGCUAGGUUUGAGUUUGGGGGUAAUUGCCCUAAACGUUUAGGAAUUUGGAGCCAAAAAGGGGCCAAAAAACAAGCAUUUUUCUAGUUUCCAGACAAUAACUUGUGUUCAAGUGUAUGGAUCUCUCUGAAAUUGUACUGCAAGGUACCAUACCACAAAGGGAAGGCUAGGAUUGAGUUUGGGGUGAUGAAUCAUAAGGGGGUUCAACAAAUUUG